GACGAACGCUGGCGGCGCGCCUAACACAUGCAAGUCGAACGAGCGAGAGAGAGCUUGCUUUCUCGAGCGAGUGGCGAACGGGUGAGUAACGCGUGAGGAACCUGCCUCAAAGAGGGGGACAACAGUUGGAAACGACUGCUAAUACCGCAUAAGCCCACAGGUCGGCAUCGACCAGAGGGAAAAGGAGCAAUCCGCUUUGAGAUGGCCUCGCGUCCGAUUAGCUAGUUGGUGAGGUAACGGCCCACCAAGGCGACGAUCGGUAGCCGGACUGAGAGGUUGAACGGCCACAUUGGGACUGAGACACGGCCCAGACUCCUACGGGAGGCAGCAGUGGGGAAUAUUGCACAAUGGGGGAAACCCUGAUGCAGCGACGCCGCGUGGAGGAAGAAGGUCUUCGGAUUGUAAACUCCUGUUGUUGAGGAAGAUAAUGACGGUACUCAACAAGGAAGUGACGGCUAACUACGUGCCAGCAGCCGCGGUAAAACGUAGGUCGCAAGCGUUGUCCGGAAUUACUGGGUGUAAAGGGAGCGCAGGCGGGAAGACAAGUUGGAAGUGAAAUCUAUGGGCUCAACCCAUAAACUGCUUUCAAAACUGUUUUUCUUGAGUAGUGCAGAGGUAGGCGGAAUUCCCGGUGUAGCGGUGGAAUGCGUAGAUAUCGGGAGGAACACCAGUGGCGAAGGCGGCCUACUGGGCACCAACUGACGCUGAGGCUCGAAAGUGUGGGUAGCAAACAGG
rnacentral:rRNA from 1 species